GUGGGGAAUCUUCCGCAAUGGACGAAAGUCUGACGGAGCGACGCCGCGUGAGUGAAGAAGGCCUUCGGGUCGUAAAGCUCUGUCAUCAGGGACGAACGGCCGGUGGAGUGGAAAGCCACCGGAUUGACGGUACCUGAGAAGGAAGCCACGGCUAACUACGUGCCAGCAGCCGCGGUAAUACGUAGGUGGCAAGCGUUGUCCGGAAUUAUUGGGCGUAAAGCGCGCGCAUGUGGGAUCUUAAGUCCAUUUUGAAAGUUCGGAGCUCAACUCCGUGAUGGGAUGGAAACUGGGAUUCUUGAGUACCGGAGAGGAAAGCGGAAUUCCCCGUGUAGCGGUGAAAUGCGUAGAUAUGGGGAGGAACACCAGUGGCGAAGGCGGCUUUCUGGACGGUGUCUGACACUGAGGCGCGAAAGCUAGGGGAGCGAACGGGAUUAGAAACCCGGGUAGUCC
rnacentral:rRNA from 1 species